rnacentral:rRNA from 1 species
UACGUAGGGGGCUAGCGUUGUCCGGAAUCAUUGGGCGUAAAGAGCGUGUAGGCGGCCCGGUAAGUCCGCUGUGAAAGUCGGGGGCUCAACCCUCGAAUGCCGGUGGAUACUGUCGGGCUAGAGUGCGGAAGAGGCGAGUGGAAUUCCUGGUGUAGCGGUGAAAUGCGCAGAUAUUAGGAGGAACACCGGUGGCGAAGGCGCCGCUCUGGGCCGAAACUGACGCUGAGGAGCGAAAGCAUGGGUAGCAAACAGG